rnacentral:rRNA from 1 species
CCUACGGGUGGCUGCAGUGAGGAAUAUUGGUCAAUGGCCGGAAGUCUGAACCAGCCAAGUCGCGUGAGGGACGACUGCCCUAUGGGUUGUAAACCUCUUUUAUAAAGGAAUAAAGUGAGGCACGUGUGCCUUUUUGUAUGUACUUUAUGAAUAAGGAUCGGCUAACUCCGUGCCAGCAGCCGCGGUAAUACGGAGGAUCCGAGCGUUAUCCGGAUUUAUUGGGUUUAAAGGGAGCGUAGAUGGGUUGUUAAGUCAGUUGUGAAAGUUUGCGGCUCAACCGUAAAAUUGCAAUUGAUACUGGCAGCCUUGAGUACAGUUGAGGUAGGCGGAAUUCGUGGUGUAGCGGUGAAAUGCUUAGAUAUCACGAAGAACCCCGAUUGCGAAGGCAGCUUACUAAACUGCGACUGACAUUGAUGCUCGAAAGUGUGGGUAUCAAACAGGAUUAGAUACCCCAGUAGUC